rnacentral:rRNA from 1 species
GACGUAGGGCGCGAGCGUUGUCCGGAUUUAUUGGGCGUAAAGAGCUCGUAGGCGGCUUGUUACGUCGACUGUGAAAACCCGCGGCUCAACCGUGUGGCUUGCAGUCGAUACGGGCAGGCUAGAGUUCGGUAGGGGAGACUGGAAUUCCUGGUGUAGCGGUGAAAUGCGCAGAUAUCAGGAGGAACACCGGUGGCGAAGGCGGGUCUCUGGGCCGAUACUGACGCUGAGGAGCGAAAGCGUGGGGAGCGAACAGG